AGCGGCGGACGGGUGAGUAAUGCUUAGGAAUCUGCCUAUUAGUGGGGGACAACAUUCCGAAAGGAAUGCUAAUACCGCAUACGCCCUACGGGGGAAAGCAGGGGAUCUUCGGACCUUGCGCUAAUAGAUGAGCCUAAGUCAGAUUAGCUAGUUGGUGGGGUAAAGGCCUACCAAGGCGACGAUCUGUAGCGGGUCUGAGAGGAUGAUCCGCCACACUGGGACUGAGACACGGCCCAGACUCCUACGGGAGGCAGCAGUGGGGAAUAUUGGACAAUGGGCGAAAGCCUGAUCCAGCCAUGCCGCGUGUGUGAAGAAGGCCUUUUGGUUGUAAAGCACUUUAAGCGAGGAGGAGGCUACUUGGAUUAAUACUCUAGGAUAGUGGACGUUACUCGCAGAAUAAGCACCGGCUAACUCUGUGCCAGCAGCCGCGGUAAUACAGAGGGUGCGAGCGUUAAUCGGAUUUACUGGGCGUAAAGCGUGCGUAGGCGGCUUUUUAAGUCGGAUGUGAAAUCCCUGAGCUUAACUUAGGAAUUGCAUUCGAUACUGGGAAGCUAGAGUAUGGGAGAGGAUGGUAGAAUUCCAGGUGUAGCGGUGAAAUGCGUAGAGAUCUGGAGGAAUACCGAUGGCGAAGGCAGCCAUCUGGCCUAAUACUGACGCUGAGGUGCGAAAGCAUGGGGAGCAAACAGGAUUAGAUACCCUGGUAGUCCACGCCGUAAACGAUG
rnacentral:rRNA from 1 species